AAACUUACCUGGAGGGGUCUAUGGCUUAUCAUGAAGGGCUAUGGCCUAGGUUAGCUACUUGCAUGGCACUUUGGAAGGGCGCUCGCCUAAGAUCAAUCCUAAGGGGUGGAGUCAAUGUCAUAAUUUAAUUUGUUCCUGAUGAGGGGGUGUGCGUCCGCGCUGCCCCUGC